rnacentral:rRNA from 1 species
GAUCAUGGCUCAGGAUGAACGCUAGCUACAGGCUUAACACAUGCAAGUCGAGGGGCAGCAUGGUCUUAGCUUGCUAAGGCCGAUGGCGACCGGCGCACGGGUGAGUAACCCGUAUCCAACCUGCCGUCUACUCUUGGACAGCCUCCUGAAAGGAAGAUUAAUACAAGAUGGCAUCAUGAGUCCGCAUGUUCACAUGAUUAAAGGUAUUCCGGUAGACGAUGGGGA